UACGUAGGGUGCAAGCGUUGUCCGGAAUUAUUGGGCGUAAAGAGCUCGUAGGCGGUCUGUUGCGUCGGCUGUGAAAAACCCGGGGGCUCAACUCCGGGGCCUGCAGCCGAUACGGGGCAGACUAGAGUUCGGCAGGGGGAGACUGGAAUUCCUGGUGUAGCGGUGAAAUGCGCAGAUAUCAGGGAGGAACACCGGGUGGCGAAGGCGGGUCUCUGGGCCGAUACUGACGCUGGAGGGAGCGAAAAGCGUGGGGAGCGAACAG
rnacentral:rRNA from 1 species